AUAUCAAUAAGCGGAGGAAAAGAAACCAACAGGGAUUGCCCUAGUAACGGCGAGUGAAGCGGCAACAGCUCAAAUUUGAAAUCUGGCCCCCUCGGGGUCCGAGUUGUAAUUUGUAGAGGGUGCUUUGGCGUCGGCCAUGGUCUAAGUUCCUUGGAACAGGACGUCACAGAGGGUGAGAAUCCCGUAUGUGAUUAGUGCCGUCCCCCGUGUAAAGCUCUUUCGACGAGUCGAGUUGUUUGGGAAUGCAGCUCUAAAUGGGUGGUAUAUUUCAUCUAAAGCUAAAUAUUGGCCAGAGACCGAUAGCGCACAAGUA
rnacentral:rRNA from 1 species